AUUGAACGCUGGCGGCAGGCCUAACACAUGCAAGUCGAGCGGAUGAAGCGAGCUUGCUCCUGGAUUCAGCGGCGGACGGGUGAGUAAUGCCUAGGAAUCUGCCUGGUCGUGGGGAAUAACGUCCGGAAACGGGCGCUAAUACCGCAUACGUCCUGAGGUAGAAAGUGGGGGAUCUUCGGACCUCUCGCCUUCUGAUGAGCCUAGGUCGGUUUAGCUAGUUGGUGGGGUAACUGCCUACCAAGGCGACGAUCCGUAACUGGUCUGAGAGGAUGACCAGUCACACUGGAACUGAGACACAGUACAGACUCCUACAGGGGGCAGCGGUGGGGAAUAUUGGACGAUGGGCGAAAGCCUGAUACAGCCAUGCGGCGUGUGUGAAGAAGGUCUUCGGAUUGUAAAGCACUGUAAGUUGGGGGGAAGGACAGUAAGUUAAUACCUGACUGUAUUGACGGUACCAACAGAAUAAGCACCGGCUAACUUCGUG
rnacentral:rRNA from 1 species